GAACCGUCCAAACGUUUAUUCGGAAUCACUGGGCUUAAAGGGUGCGUAGGCGGCGCGGAAAGUUGGGUGUGAAAUACCUCGGCUCAACCGAGGAACUGCGCCCAAAACUGCCGUGCUCGAGGGAGAUAGAGGUGAGCGGAACUUAGGGUGGAGCGGUGAAAUGCGUUGAUAUCCUAAGGAACACCGGUGGCGAAGGCGGCUCACUGGAUCUCUUCUGACGCUGAGGCACGAAAGCUAGGGUAGCGAACGGGAUUAGAUACCCCGGGUAGUCCUAGCCGUAAACGAUGAGCACUGGAUUGGAGGGUCCCUCCAUAGCCUUCCAGUCGCAACGAAAGCGUUAAGUGCUCCGCCUGGGGAGUAUGGUCGCAAGGCUG
rnacentral:rRNA from 1 species